rnacentral:rRNA from 1 species
GACGAACGCUGGCGGCGUGCCUAACACAUGCAAGUCGAGCGGGGUUGAGGCGAGAGGUAACUCGAGCUUCUACCUAGCGGCGGACGGGUGAGUAACGCGUGGGCAACCUGCCUCAAGGUUUGGGAUAACAGCCCGAAAGGGCUGCUAAUACCGGAUAUGCCUAUGGCCUCGCAUGGGGCUAUGAGCAAAGGGGAAACCCGCCUUGAGAUGGGCCCGCGUCCCAUCAGCUAGUUGGUGAGGUAACAGCUCACCAAGGCGACGACGGGUAGCCGGCCUGAGAGGGUGACCGGCCACACUGGGACUGAGACACGGCCCAGACUCCUACGGGGGCAGCAGUGGGGGAUCUUGCACAAUGGGCGAAAGCCUGAUGCAGCGACGCCGCGUGAGCGAAAGAAGGCCUUCGGGUUGUAAAGCUCUGUCUGGAGGGACGAAGGAAGUGACGGUACCUCCGGAGGAGCCACGGACUAACUAACGUGCCAGCACGCCGCGGUAAAACGUAGACGU